AGUCAAUGCUCGCAAGAGUGAACUAGCUAACUGAAAUCACAUGACUCAUUAAUUGAUGGUGAUUGUGAUAACAUAAGGGAAAAAAUUGAUAUUACCUUAUUAUUAGUGUUGUCCAAAACUGGUGCCAGAAGACUCGGUAAGACCAGAGACGCAAACGUUAGUCAUCUUAAUCAGGCGUAAAGGGUGUGUAGGCUGCUUUAAAUUUUUAAAUCUUUGUAAUAGCUCUGUUAACGUACUACUACAUUAUUUAUUGGAUUAAAAAAAUAAAAACAAAAAAAUAAAAAUAAUAAAAAUUCAAAAUAUAUAUAUAGUAUAUAAUUUUUAUUUUAUGAUAAAUAAAGGAUAUUUAAAUAUAUCCAUGUUUCAGUAAAAGAAAUAAAUGAAUUAAAGCUAGGAUCAAAUUGAGGAUAAACCAAAUAAUACUUAGAGUAGGGCUUAUAUCCGCAGAUACUAAGGGGAAUACUAAAGGUGAAAGCUUUUUAUCUACUAUUGAUUGACGCUGAGAAACGAAGGUGAGAAUAGGAAAUAGGAUUAGAUACCCAGAUACCUCUCACUGUCAACGAUGAAUGGUGGUUUGUUAGUUUUAAUAAAAACUGGUAACGAUGUUAACACGAUAACCAUUCCGCCUUGCGAGUAC
rnacentral:rRNA from 1 species